AGGAAUAGAGAUAAGCACUUCCCUCCAGUUCAUCUUCACCAUCAACCAUGUUCUCUGUUUCUCUGCUGCUGCUGGCAGCUGCUUCCUACGUGCACUGUGGACUAGAGCUCUCCCAGCCAGGUUCAAUGGUCGUCCAGUCAGGAGAGUCUUUGAUCCUCACUUGUAAGGUUUCUGGGUAUACUCUAACUGAUAGCAGCAAUGUUUAUGGAAUAGGUUGGAUACGACAACCUGCAGGGAAAACCCUGGAAUGGAUUUGGACGAUCUAUUAUGAUGGAAGUUCAUAUUCUCAAAGUUCUCUCAGAGCCAAGUUCAGUGUUACCAGAGACACCUCUAGUAGUACAGUGACUCUGAAAGGACAGAGUCUGCAGACUGACGACACAGCAGUUUAUUUCUGUGCUAGAGACUCACAAUGA